AACGAACGCUGGCGGCAUGCCUAACACAUGCAAGUCGAACGAGACCUUCGGGUCUAGUGGCGCACGGGUGCGUAACGCGUGGGAACCUGCCCUUAGGUUCGGAAUAACUCCCCGAAAGGGGUGCUAAUACCGGCUAAUGUCUUCGGACCAAAGAUUUAUCGCCUUUGGAUGGGCCCGCGUUGGAUUAGCUAGUUGGUAGGGUAAAAGCCUACCAAGGCGACGAUCCAUAGCUGGUCUGAGAGGAUGAUCAGCCACACUUGGACUGAGACACGGCCCAGACUCCUACGGGAGGCAGAAGUGGGGAAUAUUGGACAAUGGGCGAAAGCCUGAUCCAGCAAUGCCGCGUGAGUGAUGAAGGCCUUAGGGUUGUAAAGCUCUUUUACCCGGGAUGAUAAUGACAGUACCGGGAGAAUAAGCUCCGGCUAACUCCGUG
rnacentral:rRNA from 1 species